rnacentral:rRNA from 1 species
GACGGAGGAUGCAAGUGUUAUCCGGAAUCACUGGGCGUAAAGCGUCUGUAGGUGGUUUAGUAAGUCGACUGUUAAAUCUUGGGGCUCAACCUCAAAAUCGCAUUCGAAACUACUAGACUUGAGUAUAGUAGAGGUAAAGGGAAUUUCCAGUGGAGCGGUGAAAUGCGUAGAUAUUGGAAAGAACACCGAUGGCGAAGGCACUUUACUGGGCUAUUACUGACACUCAGAGACGAAAGCUAGGGUAGCAAAUGGG